AGAGUCACUCGGGUGACCGCGCGUGGGAAUUCCCGCUCGAGGAAAGUCCGGGCUUCAUAGGACGCAGUGGUGGCUAACGGCCACCGGGGGAAACCCUAGGGAAAGUGCCACAGAAAAUAAACCGCCUAAGCAACCUCGGUUGCCGGUAAGGGUGAAAUGGCGAGGUAAGAGCUCACCGCACGCUUGGUAACAAGCGUGGCAGGGUAAACCCCACUGGAAGAAAGUUCACAUAGGGAGGGAUGGCGUUGUCCGCGCCACUACAACCUCCGGGUAGAGCGUUUGAGGCUAGCGGCAACGCCAGUCCCAGAGAAAUGGUCACCCCCUCUAAGGAGGGACAGGAUCCGGCUUACAGAGUGGCUCUCCGC
rnacentral:RNase_P_RNA from 2 species